UACGGAAGGUGCAAGCAUUGUUCGGAUUGACUGGGCGUAAAGAGCACGUAGGUGGGUUUGUAUGUCGGAUGUGAAAUCCCUAGGCUUAACCUGGGAACUGCAUCCGAAACGGCAGAUCUUGAAUGUUUGAGAGGUUGGCGGAAUUCCAGGUGUAGGAGUGAAAUCCGUAGAUAUCUGGAGGAACACCGGAGGCGAAGGCGGCUGACUAACAAAACAUUGACACUGAGGUGCGAAAGCGUGGGUAGCAAACAGGAUUAGAUACCCUGGUAGUCCACGCCGUAAACAAUGGAUACUAGGCGUUCGGAAUGUUAAUUUUCUGAGUGCUGAAGCUAACGCAUUAAGUAUCCCGCCUGGGGAGUACGGUCGCAAGGCUA
rnacentral:rRNA from 1 species